AGAGUUUGAUCCUGGCUCAGAUUGAACGCUGGCGGCGUGCCUAACACAUGCAAGUCGAGCGGUAACAGGUGUAGCAAUACAUGCUGACGAGCGGCGAACGGGUGAGUAAUGCUUUGGAAUCUUCCCAGUAGUGGGGAAUAACCAGUCGAAAGAUUGGCUAAUACCGCAUACGUCUGUAAAGGGAAAGCGGGGGCUCGUAAGACCUCGCGCUAUUGGAUGAGCCAAAGUCGGAUUAGCUAGUUGGUGGGGUAAUGGCCUACCAAGGCGACAAUCCGUAGCUGGUCUGAGAGGACGACCAGCCACACCGGAACUGAGACACGGUCCGGACUCCUACGGGAGGCAGCAGUGGGGAAUAUUGGACAAUGGGGGAAACCCUGAUCCAGCGACGCCGCGUGUGUGAAGAAGGCCUGCGGGUUGUAAAGCACUUUUAGUGGGGACA
rnacentral:rRNA from 1 species